rnacentral:rRNA from 1 species
AAUGAACGUUGGCGGCGUGGAUUAGGCAUGCAAGUCGAACGAGAACCGACCUUUCGGGGUUGGGGAAAGUGGCAAACGGGGUAGUAAUGUGUCGGUACGUGCCCUCAGGACGGGGAUAACCAGGGGAAACUCUGGAUAAUACCCGAUAAUCUCGAGAGAGCAAAGGUCCGCUGCCGGAGGAGCGGCCGACAUGGUAUCAGGUAGUUGGUGAGGUAACGGCUCACCAAGCCUUAGACGCCUAGGGGGCGUGAGAGCGCGACCCCCACCACUGGGACUGAGAUACUGCCCAGACACCUACGGGUGGCUG